rnacentral:rRNA from 2 species
AUAACGACUCUCGGCAACGGAUAUCUCGGCUCUCGCAUCGAUGAAGAACGUAGCGAAAUGCGAUACUUGGUGUGAAUUGCAGAAUCCCGUGAAUCAUCGAGUCUUUGAACGCAAGUUGCGCCCGAAGCCUUUAGGCCGAGGGCACGUCUGCCUGGGCGUCAUGCA